AGACGGGAUGAAUUUAUUUACUGUAUAAAGUCCAAGGUGCUUAUAAGAUUCCCUUUGUUUUCUCAAUGGUUCAUGGGAGAUUUUUUCUUGCAGUUCCCUGUCAUACAGAAACACAGUAAUGGAGUUGAAAGCUCAAUGUAUGAACCUUCUUGUAUCUAUCAGCACUUAGCAGGACUAUGUCAAUGCUUUCUUUAAAGCUGAAGACAUUUCACUGGAAAUAUGGAAAUACGAGCAUCAUACAUUUUCUUCACAUGAAUUGAUACGUCUGCUAGCAAUGAAGUCGUCAGCUCCACCAAUCAUUUGUUGCUGCAAGAGCAAACGCCUGUAAACUGAACUAUGAAAUGGUAUCUCAGCAGUCUUCUCCUGUUCACAAUUGUGUAUAAUAUUUGCCAAAAGGUAAGUUCCAACCUGUAGUUUGAUGUUAACGAUAAUGAUUCUCAAUGAUGUUUCUACUUGCCUGUGGAGUCUCGACAUUAUGAUCUGUACAGUCUGAAGGUAUUGCAUCUGAUUUAAGCACAUCAUCGAAACUCGAUGUUGAGUGCAAAGUGAAGAUUCUUAUGUCGUCUUUCAAGCACACGAAGUGAAGAUGCGUCUCCCCAAGCACACUAGCUGCAGAAGUGAUUGUGUACAUAACCUUAUAAGCCUU